rnacentral:lncRNA from 1 species
AUUUAAAGAAGGCCUAUGACUCGAUGAAAUACGAUUUUCUCAAGAAUGUGCUUGAGGGAUUGAAGUGCCAUACUACUUUCAUUAUUUGGUUUAUGGAAUCUGUUACAUCACCUACGUACUCCAUUGCUCUCAAUGGUGGACUACAUGGUUUUUUUAAAGGAAAAAAAGGGGCUUCGGCUAGGUGACCUUCUUUGUCCUUUCUUAUUUGUCUUGUACCUUGAAUAUUUUUCUAGGAUGUUCAAGGGAGCUACCGAAAAUAGUGAAUUUAAUUUCCAUCCUAAAUGUGCUCCUCUAAAGAUUACGCACUUGGCUUUCGCAAAUGAUUUGAUGCUUUUUGCUAGAAGCGAUGCAACUUCGGUUAGUAUUUUGAUUAAUUGCUUUGCUAACUUUGGCAACAUGUCGGGGCUAAGGAUGAAUAUUGACAAGUCUAACUUGUACAUGGAGAGGGUUCAUGGCCAAAAGAUGGAGGAAAUUAUUGAGAUUGCUAACAUCCCCAGAGGUUCUAUGCCUUUAAGCUACUUGGGUAUUCCUCUUGCAAGGCAAAAGUUUGAAAAUCAACACUUAGGAUGCAUUUAUCAACAAAAUCACAGCUUAUAUUGGUGCUUGGUCUAGGGCAUCCUUAUCUUAUGUGGGAAGAAUGGAGCUUGUAAGGUUCGUGCUUCAAGGGGUUGUAUGUUUUUUGUUAUCCAUCUUUCCUAUUCCGACAACGGUUGCUUCUAGAGUCAUUUCUCUUUGUCGAAACUUUUUUUGGAGAUCUAAUAAACCAUUGGUUGCAUGGAGCAAUAUAUGCCUACCAAAGGAUGAAGGUGGACUUGGGCUUAGGGACAUCAAAAGUUGGAACUCCGCACUACUUGCGAAGACACUUUGGAAUAUUCAUUCUAAGAAAGACACCUUGUGUAUUAAAUGGGUUAAUCAAGUUUACCUUCGUGGGGUUGUAUUUGGACAUACAAGCCGAGGAAAGAGGACUCUCCUCUUUUCAAAAAACUGCUGGACAUUAGGGACAACGUUAAUCAGGCAGUAUACAAUGCCCAGGUGGCUGACAAAGAUCUGUCCAACUUGACAGGAUAUGGUAGACAGGUUGCUGUCCAGAAUCUGACCAGCUGGAUAGUUAAUGGCAGAUUCAAUAUUGCAUAUGCAUAUGAGUAUUUCAGGCCAAAAGGAACAAAGGUAAUCUGGGCUACUCCAUUUGGAAUGCAUAUGUGACACUGAAACAUGCUUUUAUCAUGUGGUUAGUAGCUAAAUCUACAUUGCUAACUAAUGACAGAUUGCAUUAUUUACAGAUCCAACUUGACAGGAAAUGGUAGAUAGGUUGCUGUCCAGAAUCUGAUUAGCUAGAUAGUUAAUGGCAGAUUCAAUAUUGCAUAUGCAUAUGAGUACUUCAGGCCGAAAGGAACAAAGGUAAUCUGGACUACCUCCAUUUGGAAUGCAUAUGUGACGCCAAAACACACUUUUAUCUUGUGAUUAACAGCUAAAUCUACAUUGCUAACUAAGGACAGAUUGCAUUAUUUACAGAUUGAUCAUAAGUGCAGCUUGUGUGAACUUAUGGAUGAGACUGUGGAGCACUUGUUCUUUGGAUAUACAUUUAGCCAAUCAGUUUGGGAUAAAAUCCGUGUGUGGGUCGGCAUUAGGAGAUCUAUGUCUAUACUUCCAAGUGUAAUGAAAUGGAUUAAAAAGGAAACUCGAGGUGCUUCUUGGCGUAGCAAGGCCAAACGUAUUGCACUUGUGACUACUAUUUAUCACAUUUGGACGGCAAGGAAUAAGAAGAUUUUUGAAGACCUUAUACCACAUGACCAUAGCAUUGUUCAACGAAUCAAAACACACGUAUACAAAGUUAUGUUUUCUUUGUAUCCGAAUGUUUAGGUUCAAUUUCAAUCCUUAGCUAUGGGGCUAUAGAUUGUAAUGGUGCACCAUUUUUUCUCCUUUGGUUUUACCCGGGAAAGCUUGGUAUAAUUGUAACUGUAAGUGCAUAUGGACUUGAUUUUGAGUUGUAAACCCGGGAAUGCCCGGUGUAUUUGUAUUUCAUUUUGAUCAAUAUUGAUUCACAUUUAC